rnacentral:rRNA from 1 species
GACGAACGCUGGCGGCGUGCUUAACACAUGCAAGUCGAACGGAAAGGCCCCCGUCUGGGUGGGGGUGCUCGAGUGGCGAACGGGUGAGUAACACGUGGGUGAUCUGCCCUGUACUUCGGGAUAAGCUUGGGAAACUGGGUCUAAUACCGGAUAGGACCAUGGUUUAGUGUCUCAUGGUGGGAAGAUUAUUGUUUUGGUUCAGGAUGUGCUCGCGGCCGAUCAGCUUGGUGGGGGGGUCAUGGCCUACGAAGGCGUCGACAGGUAGCCGGCCUGGGAGGGUGGGCAGCCGCUUUGAGACUACGAUCCGGCCCAGGGUGACACGGGAGGGACCCGGAGGGAAUCUUGAAGCAGGGGCGGGAGACAGAUGCCGAGGGGCCGCGUCGGGGAUGACGGCUUUCGGGUUGUAAACUACUUUCGUUAGGGACGAAGCCGCACUUUUUUUGGGUGUGGUGACGGUACCUUUGUGAAGAAGCCCCGGCUAACUACGUG